AGGGGGGAAAAUAAUGAUAAAAUAAAUAGAAGGGGAGAGGUGUAACGGCGAGGGAAAAUAAAGCGGAGGAAGCAAUUCCGAUCUAAUGGCGGCUCCGGCUGUGGAAGGCGCAGCAGUCACAGCGCUGCGAGCGGUGAUGCAUCGAGUCCGACUGGCGGCGGAGAGGUCUGGUCGCCGCGCCGACGAUGUCAGGGUUGUGGCUGUGAGCAAGACCAAGCCAGUGCCGGUAAUAGCACAAGUGUACGACGCCGGGCACCGAUGUUUUGGUGAAAACUAUGUUCAGGAACUAAUCGAGAAAGCUCCUCAGCUUCCAGAGGACAUUGAAUGGCAUUUUGUCGGGCAUUUGCAGAGCAACAAAGUGAAAGCGCUGCUAACUGCUGUUCCGAAUCUAGAUAUGGUCGAGGGUGUUGAUAAUGAGAAGGUUGCAAAUGUUCUUGACCGCACAGUUUCAACUCUUGGAAGGCAGCCUUUGAAAGUUAUGAUUCAAGUGAACACCAGCGGAGAAGUAUCAAAAUCUGGCGUGGAGCCCUCAGAAUGCGUCGAACUUGUGAAGCAUGUGCAGUUAAGUUGCUCAAAUCUUAACUUUUCUGGAUUAAUGACCAUAGGGAUGCCAGACUACACAUCAACACCAGAGAACUUCAAGACUCUGUUGGACUGCAGAGCUCAGGUUUGCAAGGCUCUUGGAGUUGCAGAAUCGCAAUAUGAGCUGUCAAUGGGUAUGUCAGGUGACUUCGAGCAAGCGGUGAGCCUGGAUUUAAGCUUUAGUCGUUAACUGCCCUUUUAAGUUUUCGUUACAGUAUAAACAGAAAACCACCAAUGACUCGACUUAUAAUAUAUACUUAUAUUUACACAACAAAAAGGGCGGAUAAGUUCUCUAUAGCUGACAUUCUUUGUAAGUUCCCUAUGUUUCAUUUGGUGCAAGUCUGAAGAAUCUGUUUGUGAAUCCUUAAAAGGAUUAAUGAUAUUGUAUUGAAAUGGGGAGCACCAAUGUGAGAAUUGGAUCAACCAUAUUCGGACCGAGGGACUAUUCAAAGAAGAAGUGAUUCAGCUACAAUGUUUGUGUAAAUUUGCUUUUGCUGCUUCUCUUUCUUGAUUCAUUAAUGUUAACAGUCAACACUAUGAGAUAUUCUUAUGAUAAUGAUACCAUAUAGAUACACAA